ensembl:lncRNA
GGUUCCUUGCUGGUUGUUGACGUCACUACGCUCACACAGAGGUGGGGUUUGUGUUUUUACAACGUCUCGCUGAUGAGCUAUUGACACUGCAUGAAAAGAGGGAUUUUCGGCAGUAUGCGGCACUGUAAAUUGUCGUGGAAUUUCAGGUUUGCGGCAAUUUGCGGGCAACGCCGAAAACUGCCGUAAAUUGUCAGAAAUUGAUGUGGGCCUCCCUUGGCAGUUGUCCCCCCAUGAUCCCCCUCCUCCUAAUUCUAGGGGAGGCUUUGACAUGUAAAUGAAAAUGCUGUGAGCUAUACAAAUGCAAAUCAGGGUCGUAGAGGGAGUUUUAGCCCAGGUGACAUUUUUUUAAAAGGUAAGAAAAUCUCUGGUACAAAUAGAUCAGGCUCAGUUGCCUAAUUAUAGACUCUUACAUUUUAGCUUGAAUUGAUUUAUUUAAUUCAAAUAUGCUAGAUUACUGUGUAUGCCAUUAGCAAUGGCAAAUGUUAUGUAAAAAAGAUACACAAAAUAACUUCUUUAAAAAAUGAGUUUUAAUCAAGGUAAAAUGAGCAUUCCAAGCAAACAACAUUUGAAUCAGCAUGAGGGGUCUGCAGAGAUCACAGUCUCCUAGAGCUCAACUACAGUGCAUAGUGGCAGGACUACAGUGACCUUUUCUUUGGUCUUACUUAAAUGCACAGAGGAUGUAUUAACCACACAUCUUCUAGCAAUGCGCUCAACUGGCAGAAAUGAUGCUGGGUAUGAGGUGUCUGUUCCCUGCAAGCCCCAAACUUCUAUUGGCUUUCCAUAAAAAUGUCUGUCCGGGUGGGGAUGAAGCCAGGAAACUUGUGCAAGAACAUGUUUAAAUGCCGUACCCUUUGACACAACAUUAACAACUAUAAACUGCUUUAUAAUGGCUGGUCGUAGUUCUGCUAGAGGGUCAAGGACGGGUUCCCCAAAACUGUUAGUGUUUCCACACCACUUAGCAUGAACAUAUGCUGACCUUUAUGCUCUGCAUCUAUCGAUUGCGUAAGUUACAUUCAUAUAUGUUACCCGUUUACAUGUCAUGGCAAAACAUUCAACCUCAGUGACACAAGGGUACAUCUGAUGAUACAUUACCAACAUUGCAUGUCUGUCAGACUCAAGAUUGUCUGGUGGAAUGGAGAAAGAGGCACCACUGUACAGUUUUCUAGGGAAAGUCGUUCCGCUGACACCAAAACAUUGCUUUACAUAAAGCAUAUCAGCUGUUUCAUUGCACGACAAAGUCCCAACCAUUUGUCUUCCUAAAAUACUGGUCCUUCCGUAUAACAAUAACCUCGUAUGUGAUUGGAGGACCCUUAGACCCCUCGUCCAAUCACGUGUGAGGUCAUAGGCAUGACUGAUACAGCAGUACUUGCAAGACGAGCAUACAAACAGACACGCGUGUGUUACUAUAUUCAGAAGAACUGUAUCUCCAGUUCCUUUGUUUGGUUUUUGCUGGUUCGUGAAUAAUGGCUGGACGACGUCUCGCGUUCAACUCGCCUUCAACUCCUCUCCGCGGUCACCAACUUUCGGCCAGUCCGCAGACAGACGAGAAGAAACUGCUGAAUGCUCUCAGUGGAUUGUCUCGUCAACUCCAACAACAAACUGCCGAUAUCAACGAGCGGUUCGCUCCACUGGAGCGUUCGGGACUCUCCAGGUCUCUGUCCAUAGAGAACAGGAUGGCGGCUCUGGAGGAACUGACUCAAAGAAGAGGAGACGGGCGCACAAUCCCAAGAUAGCGGUAAGAAUACGUUCGAUGACUGCAAGCUAAGCUAAAAGUAGCGUAGCCUCAAACGAAAGCUAAGAGUAGCCUAGUAGCCUUACAAGUGAGCAGAAACUGCUUAAUUAAAGGGUAUUUUCUUUGCCGUGUCGUUUACAGGAAGCGGUGCGCCGUCUUCACAACUCCGAGACGAAUUACAGGCGCCACAAACCGGAGCAAGGGUAAGAUUUAAAGAAUAUGACCUCGUAUUUGCUCCGGGAAAAGUCCAGAUUUAGACGACGUCAUUGUGUGUAAGUGACACUGUUUACUGUUUCUCCUUCCUUGUUAAAUUCUACUGUGACUUGCGUUUGAUUUUUUUUUGUAUUCAUACCACACUCAUUUAAUUGUUUUCCAGCCGCCUGUGAGACGUAUUUUGAGACGGUACGCAGGAGCUUUAGGUUUUCCAGCCGGACACUCAUUGCGGGCGGAAGCUGCGAAGGAUUCAGCGCGGAGUCAAGCGAGAAGAAAGAGGCUGCUGGAAUCGAGACAAAGUGUGCUGGCUGAUGACUCGGUGGAGCUCUGGAAAUCCGCCACCGUAGAGCUCACGUCGGACGGAGAGGAUGGCGUUGUUGGCGGGGUCUCGGGGUGGAUUGUACGGUCGCCCCGCACACCAGGCGCCUGCACAACAGACCUGCCUCGGAAAACACGCCGCCAAUGACGGUCUACAACCCCGAGGAGGCAAACGGACAGUUUACUGAGCUGUAGUUUUUUAAACCGCCUUUACCCAAGUGUGGGCAGAUCCUCACUUUGUAUGUAGUUGUUGUUGUUUGUAUGUUGUUAAUAAAGCUCUUUCUUUGCAUAAACAUGUGGCAAAUGUUCAUUUUCUCUAUAAAUACAUUGAUGUCCUGGUUGGUAUCCUAAUAAUAGUGUAGUAGCCUACAUAGGAUAACCAUGAAAUGAAUAUACAGCAUAAUAUGAAUAUAUAAAUAUAUAUAAAUAAAAUGAGGCGGGUGACCAAUAGCGACAGAUCUGCCAACCAAUCACGAGUGAUUGAAAGUUGUGGUUUCAUCCAAUCAUGAACAAGGAAACUCAAGCCUGGUCUGCCCAGGUGUGGUUUUGCUGCCAAUCACGAGUGAUUUUAUUUGUUUGUAAGUUGUGGUUUCAUCCAAUAAGGAGUAAGGAUAUUCAAGCCCGCUCGGCUCGGCCACCCGCGGUUUCGCUGCAUUCAUAUGCUAAUUCGGGCCAUUCGCACCUCCGCCAGCUCUGCACAUACGUCAUGGUUGGUUUCCGACAAUUUGUGGCACAGACAAACGCGACGUGCGCGGGUUGCAAAUUGUCGGAAAUUAGGGAGAUUUCCGGGCGUUUACGGGGACGAAAAUCUCACUUUUCAUGGAGUGUGAAUGAACCAGGAAGCCUGUGAAUAUCUUGCCAAACUUUACCGAACUGUAAAAGUUUCGGACACUUGCAACCACUCACUCCACACCUCAAAACAAACAGGGAGGAAUGUCUGAUGUAGACGUCCACUUUUAGCGGAGUCUAAAAUAUCUUCGGUAUUUCAGAGUCUGAGAUAAAUCACUUUUUCCUGAAAAGGCCAUAUUUCUGAAUUUGGUAAGUCCCAAAAAUGAACAACUGUGAACAUUAUUUUCUUCUGUAUUUAAAUAGGAAUCACAACCCCAAAAUAGAAAUGAGACACUGUGGAGAAUAGCUUUGAACUUGGUUCAGAUCUAUACUUGCUAAUGUAGUAAGUAAAUGUAAUCAAUAAUUGAUUAUUGGAAAAUGCUGUGCAUAGAUCAAACAAGAAAAGGUUGACUCUCAGUUCAGAAACAAAGUCAGGUAUUCUGGAAAAGGUAGCAGAAGAUAGUCCAAAAGUCCAAAGCUCCAGAAGAUUCAUUGCCAGAAAAAAAAGUUAAGACACCUGGGAGAGGAGAGGUCAACUACAUACCUCAAAAUACCAACUGGAGAGACCCCAGACAAAUUAGAAGAGGAGACUGUCACUUUUACAAGUCUUUAUUUCUAUUAUGUAAACAACAUCAAACAUUGACUGUGACAAAAAAAAAUUCAGUUUCAUCUUGUAUGGACAUUCUACUUUUCUAUCACAGAAAAGGUUUGUUGUGACAUUUUAUUUAAAAUAAAGCAAAAUAUAGAAUUGUAUUGGACUACUGUCUUUGCAUGUCAGAAGAACAUUUAUAAAUUAAGGUGUAAUUUAAAAAUUUAGUUUGCAUUGAAUGAGAAAUCUAACUUGAUGAAAGCUGAUGAAUUUGCCUGUAACAAAAUUAUAAAAUUUAGUUUGCAUUGAAUGAGAAAAUUUCACUUGAUGAAAGCUGAGAAAUUUGCAUUUUAGGGCAUUAGGGCAUUUUAACUACACUAAAGUAAAAACCUUGACAUCGGAAUAUUAAAUACUAGGUUUUUCCAAAAUGAAAAAAUCAAGUGGUAACAAAGCUAAAACGGUGUACGGUUGUAUCUUUUUACUUUGCAUAAAAGUACAUUUUUAUCUUGGGUAAAAUAAAUAUUUAUUAUUCAUAUUAAAUUAAAAUUUUAGGUUUAAACCAAAUACAAAGUAUCAUUUUAUUAAGUAUCAGUGUGGUUCUCCUUGCCCUUCUCACCUGCAGAACAUCCCCUCGUCAGCCAUUCACGAUUUAAGCCUGUUGUUCUGUUGUUCCCUGCCAGAUUGGCUUGUGUAUAUGCCAAGUUUUCCAGCGUUUCUAAAUUAGCUUGAUUUCCUUCUUUUCUGACCUAGCCUGCCUUUUUGACCAUGGAUUCCCUGCCUGCCCCCCUGGAUUUGGUUGUCUGAUUCCCAGCCUGGUUCUGACCCUGCCUGUUUCUUCUUGGCUUGCCCCUCUGGAUUUGUUUGCCUACUGACGGAUCCCCCGGUUUUGACCUGGCCUAAACUUAGUAAAAUCUAGCCUGAGUCGUGCUUUUGGGUUCCUUUGUGCACCGGUACCAGUAACCGUUACAGCUGCCAACUAAAGGUACAUCUCUUCAGAGUAUACCUUGACUAAAAAGACUAACAAAUUGUAUCACUUAAAUUGUACUUAUAAUGGCUUUUCUAUAGCAAGUUGUAAAUUGGCUCAUUUAAUGAACUUGCACAUUCUUGUUUCUUGUUGUUUUGAGUUUCUAUCUUUAUGGUUGAAAUGCACUUAUUCUUUUGCUGUGGAUAAAAGGGUCAGCUAAAUGACAUGUAAUAUAUAAAGGUAUCAAACAUGCAUUAAUACUUUGCAGUUAAAUAUUAAACAUUUAUUCAGUUUAACAGUGUGUUUAACAUAAUAAGGAUCUCUUAUUCAUACAAUUCCAUAUAUAUAUAUAUAUAUAUAUAUAUAUACACACACACACACACGGAAUCUACAUGAACCUAGUUUGUUGGGGAAACUGUGUGUGUGUGUGUGUGACAGACCAACUCAAAAGCCCUACAAAACACACACAAUUAAUUAUUUGGGAUAAAAUGUCCCUGUUUUCAUCUACGUCCACGUUAUGGUUCCUCCUAAUUUUUCCGUCGCAGCUGAAUACCUAUGUUGACUUUCCCUAACUGAGUUAUCACUGCGGUCAAGCCAGCCUCCACUUUGAAAAACACAGUCGAUCCAUCUUGCACGUUAUUUCAAGGUACGCCUAUAUACUAAAGAUUACGGUAGUGGUAUUAUCCGUGUGCGUCCUGGUGUUCUCUAUCGUUUUCUUGGUUUUCCAAUAAGUGCUUCAUGUCCCUUACUCAUGUAUCUGUCCAUGCUGGAUUCUGUCCCCGUUGAUUUAAAAAGGGAGCAUGGGAAGCUAAACACGGCGCUAGCAUGACUUCAUCCGGCUAGCUAAAUAUUCUGGGUGUAGCAGUCUCUACAGAAUCUUCAUAUGUGCGGCUUCUGUUCCACGCCAGUGCGCUGUUUGAUUGUGAGGUCAGGCUGAUCUUGGUCCAGUUCUUUUAGCUCUAGUUUUCCCGGAAAAGUUUUUCUCUCAAAUGGGUCAGACAUGGAGAGGAGGUGCAGGAAAAGCAUAUAUUGCGCAGAUAUCUUAAUUUACAAAUAUUGCUGGGUACAUUCCAUGUUUCAAAAACAAAUACACAAAUAUUGACUAUUUGUAAAAUGUAUUUAAUAUAAUUAAAAAAAAUCUUUUUUGUGGCUCGAGGUGGGGCCAUGGCCCUCUAUGGGGCAGCCGUUACAGAUCAGAUAUGAGUGAAGUACAGAGAGCAUGUGGAGACCAUCCAGACUUUUUAUCAACCAUAGGUCUCAGUCACAUCCCCUUUGAUUGUGUGUGAUAUAAAAGCUAUUAAAUAACCGAUGUUAGGCUGGCUGCAUUGAAGUGUGGAAACAUAUGGGUAGACUGCUGAGACUAUUUUGCCCGUUCCUAUUGGAAAGUUACUUAAUAAUUCUUAGGCUCAGUAGAGUGCAGCAUGAUUUGCUGUCAGUCAACAAAAAAUUGAUCAGUCCAUUUAGGUAAGUCUGAUGAUGAAGAAUGACAGUCCCUAAAACGGUCAGUCAGGAAGAACUGACAUUGCUUUCACCUUUUUGUUUACAUCUGAAUACAACUGAAUUACAGGUGAAAGCAACCUUUGUAACAAUAUAUGACAAAUCAUGCCCUGGAAACUAAAUGGAUUAUACCCAACAAUAAGAGUGUCUUUAAACAGACAUUGAAGGAAUAAUAAUGAAACAGCUGACGCAGCAACUUUCCAGAGUGCACCUGCCAUGUUCCAUCGAUGUGCCUGCCUUCGUUGUUGCCUUGGCAUCUGGUUGCUACGGCCACCCGCAGCCUGGCACUUAUCCACCGCUCUGAUCAGGAUUGGCACUCGUUGAUGACAUCAUCAUUACCCAUCAGUCAGCCCUGCUGUUACGAUGAGUGUCCUUCUAUAUGCCACUCUUGCCGCAAUGCAAUUGUGGGAGGGUGAAGGGGGAUGUUUCAGGUUCCAAUAUAGUGCUGGAUGAAAAAGGUGAGCAAUUGUUUUUUUAAUUAUUGGUGGAUUUAGCCAGAGCCAGAUUUGGGUGUGAGGCCUUGCUGGUGAUCCUGCUGACGGCAUUAAGCCAAUCGGACAUUACAUAAAAACUAUACCCAAAACAAGAAAGUGAUAUUAUUGUAUUUCUCAUGAACAUCAACAGCAACCGUUCCUUUUCUUUGCAACUCGUGAGACCUUGAUAAGCAGAAUCUCUACUUCGACUACUUGAGGUUUGCGCAACUGAGAAUAAGCUGGUUGCACUGAAAAAAUGUUUCUUUGCUAUUUUUGUCAGAACAGAUAUUAUAAGCACUUCUGGCUAAUAAAACAAGGAAGGAUUUCAUAGUACAGAAAUUCUUUUAUCCAUACUUAAUUUACGAUACUCUGCAAUACUGUGAACUUCUGUUUGACAUAACUCUCUUGAUCACUAAAGAUGUUCUUUAUUUACAUAUGUUGUAUUAUUGACACUGUCCUUGCAUUGUUCAAUGCAUAUUUCAAUAUUUGUUAUUGGAAUAUGUAUUCCAAACAAUCUGCACAUUUGCCCUCUUCUUCUUCAGUAUAAUCUUCUCAACCCAAUUACCUCAAAGGGAUCAUUGACUUCCGAUCUUAUCAAAUAUAAUUAUUGUUUAUUUGCUGUGAAAAAUGUGAAAGUUGUGCAGAAGCACAGAGCAGCUGGCUUCCAUUCAUUCUAACCUCUCCAGAUAAUAUUGUCCCUUCCACUUGUUUCUGUCAACGGAGAUUUGGUGAGUGAAUAACUGUCAUGUGGUUUAUUCUACGUGGAGCUUGUAUAAAUGACGCUGAAAAGUUACAAAGUUUGUAAUUGCAGGUUAUGAGCAGCAUUUAGAGCAGAGGGAGACAGACGGACAAAGAGAGAGAGCCAGAGACAAAGUGAGGUGUAGGCCAGGGACAGACUUGAUGGGAUUUUAGAAAUCUAUGAGGCUGAUGAUGAAUGUCUGAAAUAGGUUUGUCUGCCCAUUGAAAAGCCAUUUGUUUUCAUUAGCUCCCAAUGCUGGGGUAAGUCUGCAGUGAGGGAAAGGGGUGGGUGGCUGGAGCUUAUGGUCAUUAUGGGAUGGAUCUUGCUAGCUGAAGGAAUUAGCCCAAAGCUAUGUUGGCCAAGUGACUUGAAGUGGGUGACGCAUGACCAUCUUUGGCUCCAUGUACAAACAACAAGCAAGACUGUCCUCGCCAGAAAAAGCAAUGCGCAAAUUGAUUGACGGUUUGAAUAUCAAACAAUCUAUGUGUAUGUAUUUUUUCCCAAUUGUGGCUUGUGGCUCUUCAAUGUCUGACUCCCAAAAUAAAAGAUAGAAGUACAGGGACUGAGUGGCUCCAAGCCUUGUGGUCCAUACAAAGCAGCUCUGACACAAGAAACUGCUAUUCCAUCAUGUUCUAUACAAACUGUCAAAGUGUUUUUUUACACCAUGACAGAAUCUUCGCUUAACCCUAACCUAAGUAUUUUAUCAACCUAAACAACUGUAUUUCACUGAUUUGGGAGAAUUUUAACAGUAUGCUUCAGAGCAGUGGGCCAUGCCAUUUUUCCAAAAAAAACUAUUAGUCCGAAAAUGUCCGAGGGCCCCAAAAAAACAUUUAUAUUUUACGGUUAGAGGACUAUAAGCAUUCGUGAUGCUUUCCAGGUGACUUUUAGUAGUGCACAAGAGGCUACUUUUAGCCUGUUGAGGCCAAAAUGAAGAUUAUAACAAACACAAAAUGAUAUUGAUUAAAAAAAACACCUGCCAACAAAAAAAACAAUUUAAAAAAGACAAUUUAUUCCACCUAUUAAAACUUGUUAACAUAUGUAAUUAUUUUCUGAAUGAUCUUUUCUUACCUGUUCUCUUUAGAUCAGAUGUAGUAAAUAGAUGUAAUAAAAAAAUAUUUUUUCACGUUCAUGGCUUCCAUACAAAGCACAUCAGAACAUUGUGAGGAUUGAUUUUGCAUUCAUCCUUCGAGUUUCGGAAUGCUCUUAUGAUUUUUUUUAUGAGAUAAUCUAAAAGAAAAAAAAAAGUUUGUUGCAUACACAAUCAAGCUAACGUGGUGUAUGAUAAUAUUGCAGUAGAUGUAUGUUGAUAAGGGUGCUUGUGCGUGUGUGUUGAGAGACAGAGAUCAAGACUGCAUUGAAACCCAACUGUAACUCUUGACUUCUGGUACAUGCAGUGUAUAACGAAUGAUAUUAUAUGAGUGAAGCCUUAGAAUCAAAUUCCCGCUGGGGUGACACAUGCAGUAUUCACCUUUCAAUACAUCUACACAUCUAUCUAUCAAAGAUGAUGUAACAUCUCUUAUAAUAUAGCGAGAUCUGUAAGUAGGCAAAACGAACAGCUCUGGAUUGGCUUUUCCUUGGUCUGAAAGGGUUUGUUCAUGCGGAGCUGAGAGUGGCCAGGAUCAAUAAGAGAGAAAAAUAGGAAAAUGACAUGGCUUUCUCCAGAUGAAAGAUCUAAUCUCCAAUAUCCAUUUACAGCUCAGGGCCCUGCACUAAGGCAGCAAGACAGCAACGCAGUUACAGCAAAAAAAACACCCCACCGAUUUCAUGUCCAGAUCGUUGUCCUGACACUCCCUCCUUAACAAUCAUGGUGAUUCUGAGGCAAUGUGCUUAGAGCGAGUUUCUACAUUUGCUGUUGAUGCUUUCUUGUGUGCGUGUGUGUGUGUGUAUAUAUAUAUAUACAUAUACUCCCACUUUUGUGUAUAUGUAUGAAUAUAUAUGUAUGUGUGUGUAUGUAUGUGUG